rnacentral:lncRNA from 1 species
UGCUAAUCUAUGUAUGGAAUUAAAUUUAUACCUGAUUUACCUUUAGAAAUUGGAAACUUUCAUAUAACAUUCAUGAAAGUACAAAUGUAGCCCUAUCUUUUGCAACUAAUAAAAACAUAGGGUCAUGCGGCAUUUUUGGGCAUUCACAUGGCCUUGUUUACAAACAAUGUAGAUUCGCACUGAAUUCCUAUACUGACCCCCAUUACUUUUCAACCCUGUAGUAAAAAAAAUUAGUACAUUCAGCAUUUAUUUUUUUAUUUUUUUCAACUCUAGUUUUGAUCCAUCUGCCAAAAAAUAUUUAUUACAAACAUUAUCUACCAAUCAGAAGAGCAUAUGACUUCAGUGUUAUACAGAAAGCUCUCCCCUAAAUGGGCGGUCCCUGAUGACGUAUAUUUAUUUACUGAAUUUACCCCUAUAAGGGACUUUUUUACUUCUUUUCCCACUUUUUUUGUAAUAAACAUGUAAGGUAUCCAAUUUUCAAGUUCCAGUUUCAAUACAACAUUCAUAAAUGCUGAAUUUGUAAAGAUAGAGCAAAAUUUAUACUACAGCCCAUACUGCGGCCA